rnacentral:tRNA from 1 species
GCGCCGGUAGUGUAAUGGCGUAGGGCGUUCCUGUUUGGUUAUCAGGGGGUGCGAGUUCGAGUCCUGCCUGGCGCU